UCUUUUUCCGCAGUCGAGAGAGAGAUCUGUAAGAAGAUCAAAUACAAACGAGCCAGGGUUUGAGAGCUGGGAUUGGAAAAGUGUUUGCACUCUGUUCACACAGCCUCUCUUUCUGUUUCCUUGCUCCACCACUUCAUCUUCUGUGCUCAUUUUCUUCAUCUGUAUGGUGGAGAUAAUGGGUCCCAACGUCAUUUUGUUAUCCUGAUGGAAGGUUUCCCACAGUUAGACUGCAUGAAAAUCUGACGAGUGAUGCUCACCUAUGUGCCUCUCUGAAGUGUUGUAAGAAUUAAUGAUGGCUGGGAAAACGUAUUGAAGACGAACAGCACAUCCUGAGAGAAAGCUGAUGAGUACUAUUAAAAGUGUCAACCGAUAAGUAUAUUUUAAUGAAUGUGGGGAAAAAACCCCACCCAUCAAAGGAUCUUGGCUUACCAGCCCUAAUACUUCAAUGCCUUAGGGUAGAAAGGAAUAUACAUAACUUCUGAGUAGAAAAGUAAAAGCAAUAACAAAACCUGACAUUCCAAGACCAUAAACACAUUCACAAUAAAAUGUGCUUUGCAACCUAAGAAAUCCAGCUAGAUUUUUAAAAUAUGUAUGUAUGCAUCCAGGAUAUAAUGAAAUCAAGCAACAUGUCUUGGAAAUUUAGAAUAGUCUGUAUAGAGAGUCAAAGGACAAAGGACAGAAAUGUUCAGAAAUCAAGCCAAGGCAAUGCGAUCAAGAACACGUUCCUCCCCAAUUCAAAAUGCAGCAUGGGAAGAAUUCAUUCGCUGUGUAUAAAUUUGAUAACUGCAUUUUUUUUCCAGUCUUGCUAAAAGAGAUGAAAAGGAUAUAUGAAUGUGGCUUGCUUUGGAGGAUAUUCAGGGAGCCGAUGAAAAUGCAUAGCAAGUUUGACAAGAAAGUAUCUGCCUGGAAUCCUGUUGCCUGGAGACCGAUCUUGAAGAACAUUCACUGCCCUGGCCUCUUGGAGAUUUAAGACUUCUAAUGAGGAGCUGACAGAAAUCUUUAGCUUGCUCCCCAUCAACUGACAUUUUUUUUAAGGUCACAAUAAACAUUUGUCUGGGUACUACCCA
rnacentral:lncRNA from 1 species